rnacentral:rRNA from 1 species
GGAAUAUUGCGCAAUGGGCGAAAGCCUGACGCAGCAACGCCGCGUGAGGGAUGAAGGCCUUCGGGUUGUAAACCUCUUUUAGCAGGGAAGAAGCGAAAGUGACGGUACCUGCAGAAAAAGCACCGGCUAACUACGUGCCAGCAGCCGCGGUAAUACGUAGGGUGCAAGCGUUGUCCGGAAUUAUUGGGCGUAAAGAGCUCGUAGGCGGUUUGUCACGUCUGCUGUGAAAAUCUGAGGCUCAACCUCGGACUUGCAGUGGGUACGGGCAGACUAGAGUGCAGUAGGGGAGAAGGGAAUUCCUGGUGUAGCGGUGGAAUGCGCAGAUAUCAGGAGGAACACCAAUGGCGAAGGCACUUCUCUGGGCUGUAACUGACGCUGAGGAGCGAAAGCGUGGGGAGCGAACAGGAUUAGAUACCCUGGUAGUCCACGCCGUAAACGUUGGGCGCUAGAUGUGGGUCACAUUCCACGUGAUCCGUGUCGCAGCUAACGCAUUAAGCGCCCCGCCUGGGGAGUACGGCCGCAAGGCUAAAACUCAAAGGAAUUGACGG